rnacentral:lncRNA from 1 species
ACUGAUGAGAGGGAAUUCCUUUGGAAGAGGGUAAUUGCAAGGACAUUUGGGGAAAAAGAGGGAGAGAAUUGAAGUCAAGAGGCAUAAGGGAAGGGUGUGGGGUGGGUUUGUGGAAGGCAAUUAGAAGUUGGUGGGAGGUCUUUAAUAGUAGAAUAGGUUUUAUGGUAGGCAAUGGAUGGAGGUGAGUUUUCUUUUUGCGCAUUUUUCUUUUUGGUUACAGUUGUAAGGGGGUGAGUUUCUUGUUCUUGUACAUUUUGGGCCGUUAUUUUUUUUUUUAUAGGUAAAUUUUUGUCCCCAUUAGGACUUGAACCUGGAACCUCCCACAAACCCUCCCCAUCUCUUUACCACUUGCGUCAGG